UAUUAAACAGGGGAUCUUUCCCCCAUUGCUUGUUUUUGUCAUGUUUGUCCAAGAUCAGAUGGUUGUAAAUGUGUGGUGUUAUUUCUGAGACCUCUGUUCUGUUUCAUUGAUCUAUAUAUCUGUUUUGGUACCAGUACCAUGCUGUUUUGGUUAGUGUAGCCUUGUAGUAUGGUUUGAAGUCAGGUAGCGUGAAGUCUUCAGCUUGGUUCUUUUUGCUUAGGAUUGUCUUGGCUAUGUGGGCUUUUUUUUUUGGUUCCAUAUGAAAUGUAAAGUAGUUUUUUUCUAAUUUUGUGAAGAAAGUCAAUGUAGCUUGAUGUGGAUUGCAUUGAAUCUAUAAAUUACUUUGGCUAUUAUGGCCAUUUUUAUCAUAUUGAUUCUUCCUAUCCAUGAGCAUGGAAUGUUUUUCAUUUGUUUGUGUCCUCUCUUAUUUCCUUGAGCAGUGGUUUGUAGUUCUCCAUGAGGAGGUCCUUCACAUCUCUUGUAGUGUUGUAUUCCUAGGUGUAGGGCUGUGGAGACCCCACAGGGUCGUGGGGUGACCCUUAUGCUGUGUUGAGGUGCAGGAUCCAAGAGGCAAAGAGACAGGACACUGAAGAACUGGUGAAGAGCAUCUGGACUCAGGGGGCCACACCAUCUGUGAGCAGAGAUCAGCGGCGGCCUCCAAAUGCCCAAGAGCAUCUGUAUUUAUUAGGUACAAGCAGGGGGCAGGGUUGUGGGUGAAUUCAUCAUCUAUAGGCUUAGUAAUAGGGCAUAAAUAAUUACGUGAGUUAUAAGCGAGGGGACCACCCCAUUAUGUCACCUGGGCAGAGAGGUGGGCCAUGUGAAGCAGGGGGCCAUGCCAUGCACAGUAGUAGAGGGUCAUGUACAGAAAAGAGGUCCAUCCCCAUUAGGUCACCAAGGCAAGGAGGUGGGCUGUGUGCAACAGGUGUCAUGCACAACACGUCUAAUCUGGGGGCUGGAGACUUCAAAGGAUUUCUAAUAGAAGGAUACUGUAAGUGUAAUGCAGUGGGAGCUGACAGACUUGUGCUCUUCUCGAGCUCAGUAAAUAUAAACAUUAAGUUUCAAUAUAUAAAACCUUUAGAAACACCUUGAAAAUGUUUAAAGUUAUAUUUUGCAUGUCUUUGUUUGUAAUCACUGAGCCCAUCCAAAUCCUUGCACUACUAACAUUCACAAGCUUGAACCUCUUAAAAAAUAUCCUCCAUCAAAGCUUUGGAAUCCAGUAAAAAUUAGGAAACGAGUGGGCUUCAGAAUACCCUGAGCACAAACUAGUGCAACACCACAUGUUCGAACUUCUGUCCAGAAAGAGGGGUGGCAGUGAAAAAAAGGGGGGAAUAAAGAGCAAGUAAAUUCUGGCUUUAUUACACAAGCACAAAACCAAAUUCCUUUGGAAAAAUAAUGUCUUCUUCGGAGGACUUCCAGACCAGUGAGGUAGAGUCCAACAGGGAGAAAACGGAUCUGCCCCUAAGGUCCUGGAGACGUCUCAAUCUGGGGUCAGGAAGGGACCUCCCCUAUGGGUCCGGCUGUCCCCUCCGUCUGCAGGCCGGGUGAUGGGGGCAGCAGAGGCCACACUUGCCCCGGAGUCCAAGACGACGGCGCCACGGCCCGGGGGCGCAGGGCAGGGACAACCAUCCGGUGACUUCUUCGUGCAUAAAGUGCACUGGGGGCCGGGGUCCUGGCCGGAUCUGUAAACACUCGACUGACACUUGUCCAUUCCUCCGGGAGGAAGCUCUGUCAAUUCCGCCGAUCGGAGCCGGCAGGA
ensembl:lncRNA